AAGUCGUAACAAGGUUUCCGUAGGUGAACCUGCGGAAGGAUCAUUAUCAUAGCGAGGUUGCACGUACCCCGGUAGCAAAAAUUACCGGGGGUAAGGCUCGUACGCCCCGAAGUAUCGGGUUACCCUGCUUUUUGAGCACCAUUUGUUUCCUCGGCGGGCUCUUGACCGCCACCAGAGGACCCCCAAAACCUUUGCAAUGAGAAGUAACUGUCAGUAUGAAAAAAUAUAUAACAACUUUCAACAAUGGAUCUCUUGGCUCUG
rnacentral:misc_RNA from 1 species